GAAAACAUACUAAGAGAAUCACUUGUGGAUGUUGGAAUGCAGAAAAUCUGCUUGCUUUAGGUGGUGAAGAUAAAAUGAUUACAGUUAGUAAUCAGGAAGGUGACACGAUAAGACAGACACAAGUGAGAUCAGAGCCUAGCAACAUGCAGUUUUUCUUGAUGAAGAUGGAUGACCGAACCUCUGCUGCUGAAAGCAUGAUAAGUGUGGUGCUUGGCAAGAAAACUUUGUUUUUUUUAAAUCUGAAUGAACCAGAUAACCCAGCUGAUCUUGAAUUUCAGCAGGACUUUGGCAACAUUGUCUGCUAUAAUUGGUAUGGUGAUGGCCGCAUCAUGAUUGGUUUUUCAUGUGGACAUUUUGUGGUCAUUUCUACUCAUACUGGAGAGCUUGGUCAAGAGAUAUUUCAGGCUCGUAACCAUAAAGAUAAUCUAACCAGCAUUGCAGUAUCACAGACUCUUAACAAAGUUGCUACAUGUGGAGAUAACUGGUAAGUUAUUUUCACAUAUUUUUACGAAAGUUUAUAUAGUAAAUACUUAAGUGAAUCAGCCAAACUUUGUUAGCUAAUAUGAAUCUGGCAAUCAUGUUUACAAUUUAAAACGUCUAAGACUACUUUGCUCCUGAUUUUAACAUUCAGGGCAAAAAUAUAAAACAAAGUAUAGUUGAAAAUCAAUCUUAAAAAUAAAAUAGGUAGUUCUGGGUAACAUGGAGUAAGCACACUCCACCCCAUGUCUCCCACUGAGUACAGCUAUAAAACGUGAACAGAAUGCAUGGAGCAGAUAUUUAAGGACUCUGAAAAGUAAAUAGUAGCAGGCAGAUUGGAAAAGAAGACGGAAUUUGAAGUGCCAACUAACCAGCGGGGAGUCUCC
rnacentral:sRNA from 1 species